rnacentral:lncRNA from 1 species
AAUGUAGACAUAUUGGAUCACAACUGGUAAUUUCAAAACUCAGCAUGAAGUACUUCCAAACUACCUAACCCUACAUAUUGGUAAUAUAAAUCUAUUUUGUCUACAUUAAAUUGAAUAGAUUAUUUUCCUAUCUCUUGAGACCUGGUGGGAGAUGCUCCCCAUGCAGAUCCUGUCUUUUUUGCCUGCCUAUUCGUCGUGGAAAUGAUUAGAUUGUUUUAUUUGUUAAAAUUCAUGAACCAUUUCUUUUAGGAUAUACUUAGGCAUUUGAAGAAUGGUUUUCAUUAAUGUAAUGGUAUACAGAAGUUACUUGGAAGAUGAGAGUAACCCCUUGGUGAGUGUAUUGUGUUGAUUUUCAAUGAAUUAUACCUUGUAUUACUGCCUUCUUGAUUUGAGAGGAAGAGUAGGAAAACUUUGCUUCACUUAUUGUUUCUUCCUUUUCUUUUUUUAAAACUUUAUGUUUUAUAGAAGUAGACAUACAAUGUGGUGAUAAUUCUUGUACAACAGGGACUCAUGUAUACAUAUAUAUAUGUCCACUCUUUUUCAGAUUAUUUCUCAGAUAGGUUAUCACAGAAUAGUGAGAAGAGUUCCCUGUGCUAUACAGCAGGUCCCUAUAAACCAUCCAUUCCAUGGACAAUAGUGUGCCUAUGCCAGUCACAAACACCACAUCCAUCCCUCUCUUCCACCUUUCUCAUUGGUAACCCUAAGUUGCUUUAGAUUAUUGCAUUUCCCAGGCUUAGAUCAGUGGCAGUUUGAUGGAGGGGGAGUGUGCCUGAAACCAACAUUGUGAAGACAUCUUUAAAAUGUCACAUGGUGGAGUCAAUUUGGGAGAAGAAGCUGCCUUCUGGGCAGUGUUUAGACUGGUCAGCAAGGCAUGUGCUCUAAGUUUCACAGAAAACUACUGCCAUGUUAUGUAACUGCAACAUUAAUUAUAUCUCCUUUAAAUGAAUAACCUUCCAGGGAAGCUGACCUACCAGUGGCAGGAUCCUUUCUCAUUUUCUCGUGACAGAGUGAUGGUCUUGUCAUGAAUUCUGUGUUCUGGACCAGGGGAUCCCCUAGAUGGAUGAGCAGUUCAUCCACCUGUCAGAGGCAGUGAACUUUUCAUUUGCAAACAGUUUCUUGUCUAGAUGGUCCCCAAUUUUUCACAGCCCGUUUUGUCUUUUUACAUAUCUUGACUGGAUUAGCAGGAAAGUGCCUUCAACGGUGCUCAUUGCUCUGAUGAAAUUUGGUUGAAGAUUGUGCUGCCAUUUAGCAUUGAUGUAAAGAUAUAUGAUAAUGUGUCCUUUUCUAUGCUUAAUGUUUUAUGUUCACUUAUACCACGAAGUAGCUGAUGCAUAUUUAUAGAAAAGAAUGUCUAUUUGGUGUUAUGUACACAGGGAAUAGGUUGAUGUUCACAGUUGAUAAAAGGACUGAGAAAACAUAAGGUGCCUUCUCUUUUUUCACUUCUCUGGAACUGUCUUGAUGGGAAAAUUUCUGUUCUCUCAUAAUGCCCACAUGGUUGCCACACUGCCAAGCAUCAAACAAUGUUGCAUGCAGCAAAAUGAGGAUGUGUGAAUCUGAUAGAAUAUGGGGGUUAUCAUUGUUUUAAUUUUUCAAUUAUAAUUGAUAUGCAAUGUUCUUUCAAUUUCUGCUGUACAGCCAUGUGACCAAGUCCUACACAUACACACACACACACAUUCUUUUUUGUAAUACUGUCUUCCAUCAUGUUCUAACCCAAGUGACUCUACACAGUUUCCUGUGCUGUACAGUAGGAUCCUCUUACCCAACUGUUUGAAAUGUAAUAGUUGGCAUCUACCGUAAUAGUUGGCAUCUACCAACUCCAAGCUCUCCAUUCAUCCCCUUCUCUUCCUCCUUCCCCCUGGCAAAUACAAGUCUGCUCUCCAUGCCUAUGAUGUUUUUCUGUUUUGUAGAUAGGAUCAUGUGUGCCAUAUUUUAGAUUGCACAUGUAAGUUAUAUCAUGUUGUGUUUGUCUUUCUCUUUCUGAUUUACUUCACUUAGUAUGAAUCUGUGGUUCCAUCCAUGGUGCUUCAAAUGGUAUUAUAUUGUGUAUUUAUUGCUCAGUAGUAUUCCAUUGUGUGUGUGUGUGUACCACAUUUUCUUAAUCCAUUCAUAUGUCAUUGGACGUUUGGGUUUUUUCCAUGUCUUGGCUUUUGUGACUAGUGCUGUGAUGAAUAUAAAGGUGUGUGUAUCUUUUUAAAUGAAUGUUUUCUCUGCAUAUAUGCCCAGGAGUGGGAGUGUUGGAACAUUGGGUAGUUCUAUACUUAGUUUUCUGAGGAACCUCCAUACAUUUCCCAUACUGGUUGUACCAAUUUACAUUCCCACCAGCAGUGUAAGAGGACUCCCUUUUCUUCACAUCCUUUGUUUUUUGUUGACGUGUUAAUGGCCAUUCUAACUACUAUGAAGUAUCAAAAUAUUGUGGUUUUGAUUUUCAUUUCUCUAGUAAUUAGUGAUGCUGAACACUUUUUCCUGUGCCUGCUGGUGAUGUGUAUGUCCUAUUUAGAAAAAUGUCAUAUAGGUCUUUGUCCAUUUUUUGAUUGGGUUGUUUGUUGUUGUUGUUGUUGUUGAGUGUUAUGAAUUGCUUAUAUAUUUUGGAGAUAAAACAUUUGUCAUCAGAAUCUUUUGCAAAGGUUUUCUCCUGCUCUGUGUGUUGUAUUUUCAUUUUUUCAGUUUUUUCCUUUGGUGUGCAAAAGCUUUUGAGUUUAAUUAGUUUCUCAUUGGUUUAUUUUUGUUUUUAUUGUCAUUAUUCUAAGAGGUGAAUCAAACAAGAUGUUGUGACAGAUUCAAUGCAAUCCCUAUCAAAAUACAAAAGACACUUUUCACAGAACUCGAACAAAAUAUCUUAAAAUUUGUUUGGAAGCACAAAAGACCCAGAAUAGCAAAAGCCAUCCUCAAAAAGAAAAAUAGAGAAGGAGGUAUCAGGCUCCCGGACUUCAAACUAUGCUAAAAAGCAACAGUCAUCAAAACCGUAUGGUACUGGCACAAGGACAGAAAUAUAGAUCAGUGGAGCAGGAUAGAAAGCUCAGAAUUCAACCCACGCACAAAUACCAAAUGAAUCUAUGACAAAGGAGGCAAGAAUAUCCAUUGGAGAAAGAACAGCUUGUUCAAAAACGGGUGCUGGGAAAACUGGACAGCCACAUGUAAAAGAAUGAAAUUAGAACACUCCAUAACACUGUACACAAAAAUAAACUCCGAAUGGAUUAAAGACCUAGAUAUAAGACCAGACACUAUAAAACUCCUAGAGGAAAACAUAGGCGAAACACUCAUGAGGUAAACAACAGCAACAUCUUCUCAGAUCCACCUCUUAGAAUAUUGACAAUAAAAACAAAAAUUAACAAAUGAGACCUAAUCAAACUUCAAAGUUUCUGCAUAGCAAAGGAAACCCUAAACAAAAUGAAAAGACAACCCACAGAAUGGGAGAAAAUCUUUGCAAGUGAUUCAACUGACAAGGGAUUCAUCUCCAAAAUUUAUAAACACCUUCUUCAGCUGCAUACCAAAAAAACAAACAACCUCAUGCAAAAUGGGCAGAAGUUCUAAACAGACAGUUCUCCAAAGAAGACAUACAGAUGGCCAAAAAACAUGAAAAGAUGUUCAACAUCACUCAUUACAAGAGAAAUGCAAAUCAAAACCAUGAUGAGGUACCAGCUUACACCAGCCAGAAUGGCCAUCAUCAAAAAGGCCACAAACAAUGUGCUGGAGAGGAUGUGGAACAAAUGGAACCCUAGUACACAGUAGGGGGGAUUGUAAAUUUGUGUGACCACUGUGGGAAGCAGUAUGGAGAUUCCUCAGAAAACUAAACAUAGAACUAUCAUUUGAUCCAGCAAUCCCACUCUUGGGCAUCUAUCCAGAGAAAGCCAUGACUCGGAAAAACACAUGUACUCCGAUGUUCAUUGCAGUACUAUUUCCAAUAGCCAAGACAUGGAAACAACCUAAAUGUCCAUCGACAGAGGAGUGGAUCGAGAAGAUGUGGUACAUAUGCACAAUGGAAUAUGACCCAGCCAUUAAAUGAAUGAAAUACCAGCAUGUGUAGCAACAUGGAUGGACCUAGAAAUUAUCAUGCUAAGCAAAAUCAGCCAUACAAUGAGAACCAACAUCAAAUGCUUUCACUGACAUGUGGAACUUGAAAAAAGGACAAACUGAACUUCUUUGCAGAACAGAUGCUGACUCACAGACAUUGAAAAAACCUAUUGUCUCCAAAGGAGACAGUUUGGGGAGUGAAGGGAUGUUCUUGUGUUAUGGGAUGGCAGUCUUAUAAAAUUGGAUUGUUAUGAUCAUUAUAUAACUACAGAUGUCAUAAAUUCAUUUGAGUAAUAAAAAAAGAAUAAAUAUUGU